GAUCCGUGGCUCAGGACGAACGCUGGCGGCGUGCUUAACACAUGCAAGUCGAGCGAUGAAGCUUCUUCGGAAGUGGAUUAGCGGCGGACGGGUGAGUAACACGUGGGUAACCUGCCUCAUAGAGGGGAAUAGCCUUUCGAAAGGAAGAUUAAUACCGCAUAAGAUUGUAGUACCGCAUGGUACAGCAAUUAAAGGAGUAAUCCGCUAUGAGAUGGACCCGCGUCGCAUUAGCUAGUUGGUGAGGUAACGGCUCACCAAGGCGACGAUGCGUAGCCGACCUGAGAGGGUGAUCGGCCACAUUGGGACUGAGACACGGCCCAGACUCCUACGGGAGGCAGCAGUGGGGAAUAUUGCACAAUGGGGGAAACCCUGAUGCAGCAACGCCGCGUGAGUGAUGACGGUCUUCGGAUUGUAAAGCUCUGUCUUUAGGGACGAUAAUGACGGUACCUAAGGAGGAAGCCACGGCUAACUACGUGCCAGCCGCAGC
rnacentral:rRNA from 1 species